AAUAAAUGCAAGUAAAAUUUAUUAUUUUAAGUUAAAAUGUUGAUUUAAUUUAUAAUUUAAUUUAUUAGGUUAAAUUUUAAAUUAAAAAAAUUAUUAAAAAAAAGUUUAUUUUAAGCUUGUAAAUUUUAUUAAUAAACUAGGAUUAGAUACCCUAUUAUAAAAAAUGUAAAUAUAAAAAAUAGAGUAGUAUUAGUUAUAUUCUUAAAACUUAAUAAAUUUGGCGGUAUUUUAAUCUAUUCAGAGGAACUUGUUUUAUAAUUGAUAAUCCUCGUUUAAUCUUACUUAAUUUAAUUAAUUUGUAUACCAUCGUCAUAAGAAUCUCUUAAAAAAGAAAAAAUUUUCUUAAUAAAUAAUUAUUUAAUAUGUCAGAUCAAGGUGCAGUUUAUAAUUAAGGAAAAAUGAGUUACAAUAAAUUUAUUUAAACGAAUUUUAAGAUUUAAUUCUUUUAUGAAGGUGGAUUUGAUAGUAAAAUAAAUAAAAGAGUUUAUUUGAUAUUAGUUCUAAAAUAUGCACAUAUCGCCCGUCGCUCUCGUUAUUUAAAAUGAG
rnacentral:rRNA from 1 species